CAUAAAUUUGCUACUCUAUUCUUUAGCGGUUGACACACAAAACACAGACUUACAAUGAAUAGCCAGCUGCCCCUUCAUAAAUUCAUCGCCGCCGUUUCCCCGACGACUCGUCGCCGCUUCACCACCAUUGAUCCAGAACGACAAGGAAAGAAACAGCUAUAUAACAAGCUAAAAAAAAGCAACCUUUAGUUAAGUGGGACUAACAGAUGGGUGUUGAAUUUGCCCCUCAAUAUACAGAAUAUAGAGGAAUGGAAGAGCAAGAUGAGGUUGAGGAAGCUGUUAGUUUCACUGACUGGGAUUUAUCUUAUCAUGUUAGAGAUGCCCUUUUGUCAGCAUUUCUGGUUUUGAUAGUUUUUUAUUAGUGGUUUAUGUUUUUUUUGGAGAAAUUGUCUUAAAGCUCAGUUUUUUUAAAUUGGUCGUGUUUGAAUUUUUUACCCAUUUAUGGUGAGAAAUGGUAGAGUUGAAUUCAUAUACAGGUUCUUAUAGGAAAUGUAUAUAGGUGGGGAUGCUGAGUGGCUUGUUUUGAUUGAUUAAACCAAUCUAACUUGGCCCCUGGGGUUGGUCUGUUCCGUUUACUCAAGUCAUUUGGAGCUAAUGGCUAGGUAUUUGAAUGCUGUGCCAUUAGAAGAGUUUAAAAAUAUAGGGGAGCCUGUAGUCAUGAACUGUUUCUGGGCUGUGGUGGGCCUGGGGUUCCUUUUCUUGGAGAGUUGCUUCAUUGUUUGGUAGAUCUAAGGAUCCGUUGUUUAAGUAAUUUAGUAUUUGAUAGAAAUGGAAUAGUUGAUUGAAAGAGAAGUGUUGAGUUCAUAAUUGGUUGUGGAAUUGUCGGAGACUGAAAGGGUGAUAGGAGCAGUUAACACUAGCUUGCUGGGGUUUUGCAUCGCAGCGAUCGUUUUGCUCCUGAUAAAGUGGCUUUGCUUUUGACAAGUCUAAAGGCAUUAUCUGGGGCAGUUUCUUAUAUGAACGAUGUUGACCAUGUGUCUCUUCUUCAAUCAUGAUUUUUGGAAUGAGCAUGUGGAACUGUGUGCCUGAUGUGAUGGGUGCAUUGCUUGAACUUGCUGCUUCAAAUGGAAAAUAUGUUGAUCUAUGCCUUGAUAUGCUCAUAAACAAUUUUAUGCCACCAAUGGAAUCACAUAUGCUCAGGAAUGCAUGUGUUCAGGCAAUAAAGGAACAAGUUCUUCCUCGUGUGCAUACUGGUCUAGAAGUCAUUGUUGAUUUGGUGCCUAUGGCAGCCAUAAAUUUGUCUACAACAGUUGUCCAAAUGAGGCCUAUGUUUUUUAGGAAGGAUUUCAACACGGAUCAUCUAAAAUGUCAUCUGCAGAUAUAUUUGAAGGAUAUGCUAAUGUUGGAGGGCGGUGCUAUUAGAGAAUUUGUUGGGAACAGCAUGCUCGUGGAAGUGGUUGCGAUUGGCUGGGAUGAAAUGUUAAGGGAUGAUCUCUGCAAAGGCAUCUUUACAAUGGAGUUAGAAGAUGAGGAUGAGGUAUGAUGAUGAUGAUGGUCAGGCAAAUAAUGAUGGUGAGGUAUGAUGAUGAUGGUCAGGCAAAUAAUGAUGGUGAGCUUCCAAGUACAUUAAUUCUCAAGAGUUUAGGUAAAAGUGUUACUGUUGACUUACUGGAUAGCUUGAUGAUACAAUUUUUGAGCAUCUUGAAGCCUCUGCAGAUAAGAAGCCUUUGGGUGAGGAUGAGUGCUAGGCUUAUCUUGCUAGCUAUUUGGCUCGUGGGAAGUUUCUAUCAGUUUCCUCUCUCGUUAAUGUGUUGAAAAGGCUGGUGGAUUGGUGUUUGUGAAGAGUGGGUUUGUGACAUGAAUCCAAAAGCACCUCAAGCUUUCUAUUAUGCAUGCCAGGUAUCAGAAACCAUGUCAAAACUACGAAGAUGUUGAAGAGGAAGACAACAGUGAUGAAGAUAUUGCUGAUGAUUUUGGGGUUGUAAACCAAGAGAAUUUCAUGGAAGAAGGGAUGGCAAGGAGUUUGACCAAGAUAUUGAUCUUGAUGAAUUUGUCUAUGGGAUGAACAACAGGUUUGAAGUUUUGGGGCCUUCAAAGAUAUGACCCUCUACAAGUCCAGAGUCCUUAUGAUAAGUCUAAGAAUACAUCAGGUUUGAAGUUUUGGGGCUGAACGAAUGCCUUCAAAGACAUGACCCUCUACAAGUCCAGAGUCCUUAUGAUAAGUCCAAAACCUUUAAAAAGACAUGCCCUAUUGACUGCAGUUGUUACUAAAGGGUCCAACGCUUCAACUUAGAGAGAGGGAAUCUUGGCUCAACCAUUGAUUGAUUAAGAGUUCCAUGGGAUGCAGAACUUCCAAGCUUUGGUUAAGUUGACAAAUUCUCAACUUUGUUCCUUGUCUUUGAAUCUCUCUCAUCUUCUGUAGUAAACAUGGCCAAAUCUUAAUGUCAGAUAAAGAAUGCUCGGGAGUUGCAGCAAGAAAAGAUAUAAAGAUAUUGAAUUGGUGUUAAGAUUCUAAAACUGGUUUUCUUUUUUCUAUUUAAGAGUUGAGCAAUAUUCCUGAGCUA